rnacentral:rRNA from 1 species
GACAGAGGUGCCGAGCGUUAGGCGGAAUCACUGGGCUUAAAGCGUGUGUAGGCGGACCGUUAAGUGUCUUGUGAAAUCCCACGGCUCAACCGUGGAACGGCUGGGCAUACUGGCGGUCUUGAGCGGUCCAGGGGCGAGCGGAACAAGCGGUGGAGCGGGUGAAAUGCGUAGAUAUCGCUUGGAACGCCGACGGUGAAACAGCUCGCUGGGACCCGCUGACGCUGAGACGACGAAAGCCAGGGAGCCGGAA